rnacentral:rRNA from 1 species
UAUACAACUUUCAGCAACGGAUCUCUUGGCUCUCGCAUCGAUGAAGAACGCAGCGAAAUGCGAUAAGUAAUGUGAAUUGCAGAAUUCAGUGAAUCAUCGAAUCUUUGAACGCACCUUGCGCUCCUUGGUAUUCYGAGGAGCAUGCCUGUUUGAGUGUCAUUAAWUUCUCA